rnacentral:rRNA from 1 species
AACGCUAGCGGCAGGCUUAACACAUGCAAGUCGAGGGGCAGCGUGAAGAAGUAGCAAUACUGAUUUGACGGCGACCGGCGCACGGGUGCGUAACGCGUAUGUAACCUACCUUUAACAGGGGGGAUAACACUGAGAAAUUGGUACUAAUACCCCAUAACACCUGAGGAGGCAUCUUUUGAUAAUGAAAGACUUUGGUUGGUUAUAGAUGGGCAUGCGUGACAUUAGCUAGUUGGUAAGGUAACGGCUUACCAAGGCGACGAUGUCUAGGGGAACUGAGAGGUUAAUCCCCCACACUGGUACUGAGACACGGACCAGACUCCUACGGGAGGCAGCAGUGAGGAAUAUUGGUCAAUGGUCGGAAGACUGAACCAGCCAUGCCGCGUGAAGGAAGAAUGUCCUAUGGAUUGUAAACUUCUUUUAUACGGGAAUAAAACCUCCCACGUGUGGGAGCUUGUAUGUACCGUAUGAAUAAGCAUCGGCUAACUCCGUG